CCACAAUGAAUGGGACCACCCCCCUUAUCUAAGAGCCACACCCCUAGGAAUUAAAACAUUAAUAUAAAAUGAUCCNUUAUUUGAUCAAUGAACCAAGUUACCCUGGGGAUAACAGCGCAAUCCAUUUCAAGAGCCCCUAUCGACAAAUGGGUUUACGACCUCGAUGUUGGAUCAGGGUGUCCUGGUGGUGCAGCAGCUACUAAUGGUUCGUUUGUUCAACGAUUAAAACCCU
rnacentral:rRNA from 1 species